UCAAGCUCCCACAGUUUCUUAGCAUAGUUAGCUUUUAUGAUGCAAAUAGUCCAUCAUUUUAUGAAAUGGACAAUUCUCAGGGACUAAGAUGUUCCAACAGAACUCCAUCUCAUUGAAUUAAUUUGUUCUCAGUUCUCUUAAUGAGCCUGAUUAAGUCCAGGUGGGAAUAUUUGUGCUUCAAAAUGACUUGCAGAGACCCAGCUAUCCUGGGGAGGUUUGGGUGAGAGGAAGGUCAUAUUUUUCUGAAACCUGCUCUAUAAUUGUGUCUGUGAGUCCCAGGAGCUGUUGUGCCAUUAUUCAUCAAAAUAUAUAUCUUGGUGGUCUCUUCUGUGUGCAGGAGCUGUGUGAGAGAUGAGCAGUGCAAAACAUUGCCUUGGCAUGAAGGAGGAAGCCAAACUCAAAAGACAUCAACAACAACAAAAAACCUGAGCAGUGAACCUAGAAUGUGUUAGAUCAAUGCAGACACCAUGAAAAAUAACCAGGACAUGCCUUUGUGGCUUUUGAUGUAGCUAUGUCUGUGGCUGAAACUAACAGAUGCAAAAGCUAACUGCCAGAUAUCCAAUGUGUGUGCCAAUGCUGACAAACCUGCCAGAUGCCUGGCAGCUGGUCUUGCCCCAACUCCAGUGGCUCUCUUGUAUAUAGAUUGCCUUUUGAACAACAACAGAAUGUUUAUCUGAGGUAUCUCAUGAAAGCAUCUUCCCAUAAAUACAGUAAUUAUUUUUUUUUUUAAGUCAGUAAUCUAGUGAGUUCAUGUUAGAAGGAGGAAGGAUGCUGAAGCCUUGAUAAUCUUUAUCCGGUAUACGUCAAGCAUUUUGGGGUGUUAUUCAGUUGCAGAAAUUGGAUGGUCUGCAAUUCAGACUGUAAAUGGUCAUUCUGUCCCCUACAGCAAGAGUGGUUAUAUGUAAGCCAACUGGGCAGGUUGGAGAGAAAAUGCUAUUUGGGCUUUUAUAAACAAAGCUUUUGCUGUUCCAGGCUAUGAUGCUGAAAGGAAAUCAAUGUUUUUUCCACUAAAUGUGGUUUUAUCUGGCCAGAAUAAACAGUUGUGACAGGA